UAAAGUGUUCUAUGCUGGUGUACAGUACGCUUCGCAGUGCUUCUGUGGAACUGACUUCAGCAAAUAUGAUUCAGCAGAUGAGGCGGACUGUAGCGCUGCAUGUACUGGUGACAGUAACGAGAAAUGUGGUGGAACAUGGAGAAACUCGGUCUAUAAAAUAGAAAUCGUAUAAAUGUUAUCCAUCGAACCAAGCAAGCAAGAACAGGACAGUUAUAAGUGUUUGAAGAUCUCUAUGAUGCUAAUUCACGGAACAAUCUCAUUAGUCUUGAUAAAUCGUGUUCUCAUUCAUCUUGUUCCUGUAGUUGAUGAUAGUAAUGUAGAAUAAACGCAUAAUUAAAGCAAAU